GACGAACGCUGGCGGCGUGCCUAAUACAUGCCAGUCGAACGCUGAAGGAGGAGCUUGCUCUUCUGGAUGAGUUGCGAACGGGUGAGUAACGCGUAGGUAACCUGCCUGGUAGCGGGGGAUAACUAUUGGAAACGAUAGCUAAUACCGCAUAACAGUAGAUGUUGCAUGACAUUUGCUUAAAAGGUGCAAUUGCACCACUACCAGAUGGACCUGCGUUGUAUUAGCUAGUUGGUGGGGUAACGGCUCACCAAGGCGACGAUACAUAGCCGACCUGAGAGGGUGAUCGGCCACACUGGGACUGAGACACGGCCCAGACUCCUACGGGAGGCAGCAGUAGGGAAUCUUCGGCAAUGGACGGAAGUCUGACCGAGCAACGCCGCGUGAGUGAAGAAGGUUUUCGGAUCGUAAAGCUCUGUUGUAAGAGAAGAACGAGUGUGAGAGUGGAAAGUUCACACUGUGACGGUAUCUUACCAGAAAGGGACGGCUAACUACGUG
rnacentral:rRNA from 1 species